rnacentral:rRNA from 1 species
UGAGGAAUAUUGGUCAAUGGACGAGAGUCUGAACCAGCCAAGUAGCGUGCAGGAUGACGGCCCUAUGGGUUGUAAACUGCUUUUGUUUGGGAAUAAUCGACAUUACGUGUAAUGUUUUGCAUGUACCAUUCGAAUAAGGACCGGCUAAUUCCGUGCCAGCAGCCGCGGUAAUACGGAAGGUCCAGGCGUUAUCCGGAUUUAUUGGGUUUAAAGGGAGUGUAGGCGGUUGGUUAAGCGUGUUGUGAAAUGUAGAUGCUCAACAUCUGACUUGCAGCGCGAACUGGCUGACUUGAGUACACACAACGUAGGCGGAAUUCAUGGUGUAGCGGUGAAAUGCUUAGAUAUCAUGAAGAACUCCGAUUGCGAAGGCAGCUUACGGUAGUGUUACUGACGCUUAAGCUCGAAGGUGCGGGUAUCGAACAGG